GGUUGCCCCGACCUUACGGCGGCGUCGGCGAUGGUAGAUGUGCGGGGCCUGCACGCCAUCCGCGCUGCGCUCGAGGAUCUCGAGGGCCACCUCCACUUCCUUCAUGUCAGUACAAGCCCCUCCCUCAUUUCCUACUCGUCUUUCUCUUUCUCGCGUUAGGAAACCAUCCACACUUGAUACUGCAACGGAACAGGUUAGGUACUAGAAAAAUGAGUUUAGGAUAUGCAAAAGGAAGCUUACCUUUCUUCGCUAAGGAGGUACACAUUUACACAUUUCUUUACCUCAAGGUAUUUUGGAAGUGCCGACAUUCCAUUCGUUAGCUUUACUCACCGUGAACUGAUUUUGGUCUUUCUUCACAGAUCCUUGCAUCAGGAAAUAUAAAUUUGAUGAUUAUUUGGCUUUUCUCGUUGCUAAGAUAACAGAUUUCACUCUGGAAAGGAUAAGUGCAACUGCAACCACUCAAUAUUUUCAUAUGAUGCAAAUUAAAUUGGAUAUUUCCUAACUAGACACACAAGGUUUUUACUAUGGUGAAACUUUAACUGAAUAUCUUUUGACACUUGUAUCAUCUUAUUUUACAACCCUUCAAGAUAAAAUUUAACCUUUUGUUUUCUUGACUUUGGAGUUUGGACAAUGUUAUCUGCACAUUUGUAAUGUAUAUCAAGUCAGAAAUUCACCAUGUUUUAAAUCUAACAUGUAGAUUGGUGUGUGUGAAGAUAUCAGCAAGUCACUGAUUUUGAGACUAUAUGGAGUUUGAGAUUCCAUAAUGCAUGGAUCUUAUUUCUCUUUGAAGUCCUUCAACUGAAACAUGUUAUUUCUACAAAAUAAAUUGUUCUUCGGUCAUAUAGUUCAGUGAAGUUUGACUAAACCAAACUGGAACCAAGCUUCUCCUUACUGCAGUAUUGAAAAAAUUAACAUGACAGUCAGUUUAAGAUAAUCUGUAUGUAAAGAAUAUCGUGCUAAUACUUGUGUUGCAUAAAUUUGUAGGUAGCUCACUUACUGCACUGGUUUGUCUUUAGAGUUCAGUGAAAGCUUCUCCCUACUCUUGUCUUUAUAACCUGAUGCCGUGCAAGAACUAGAUCUACCAAGUAGUAAUUUAACUUAAAAG